GGUUCUUAAUUCAGUGGUAGAGCACCUGUUUUGCAUUCAGAAGGUCUCAGAUUUGAACCCUGGCAUCUCCA